rnacentral:rRNA from 1 species
AUUGAACGCUGGCGGCAUGCCUUACACAUGCAAGUCGAACGGUAGCGGGCCUUCGGGUGCCGACGAGUGGCGAACGGGUGAGUAAUGUAUCGGAACGUACCUUUCAGUGGGGGAUAACGUAGCGAAAGUUACGCUAAUACCGCAUAUUCUGUGCGCAGGAAAGCAGGGGAUCGCAAGACCUUGCGCUGAUUGAGCGGCCGAUAUCAGAUUAGCUAGUUGGUGAGGUAAAGGCUCACCAAGGCGACGAUCUGUAGCGGGUCUGAGAGGAUGAUCCGCCACACUGGAACUGAGACACGGUCCAGACUCCUACGGGAGGCAGCAGUGGGGAAUUUUGGACAAUGGGGCAACCCUGAUCCAGCCAUGCCGCGUGAGUGAAGAAGGCCUUCGGGUUGUAAAGCUCUUUCGGCCGGGAAGAAAUCGCACGGGCUAAUACCCUGUGUGGAUGACGGUACCGGAAUAAGAAGCACCGGCUAACUACGUGCCAGCCGCCGCUGUAACAC